ACUAUAGUAGCUCAGUGGUAAGAGCGUGGCGGGUAUCCGCUGAGGGCGCCGGUUCAAUCCCUGCCUAAGCA